rnacentral:rRNA from 1 species
GAGUCAGCCUGCCCAGUGAUAAAAUUUAACGGCCGCGGUAACCUAACCGUGCGAAGGUAGCAUAAUCACUUGUCCUUUAAAUAGGGGCUUGUAUCAACGGCACCACGAGGGUUAUACUGUCUCCUUUCUCUAAUCAGUGAAACUGAUCUCCCCGUGAAGAAGCGGGGAUAAAACUAUAAGACGAGAAGACCCCAUGGAGCUUUAAAUUAGCAGCAACUCAAUCAUCUACCCCCUUAUAAAAUAGAGCUAUGCAUGCGACUUUUAGGUUGGGGCGACCGCGGAGUAUAAAAUAACCCCCACGACGAAAAGAGCUAAAUCUUUAUCCCAGAGUUUCCCCUCAAAGAAUUAGUACCCUAACGAACAAUGACCCGAUCAUCGAUCAACGAACCAAGUUACCCUGGGGAUAACAGCGCAAUCUACUUCAAGAGCCCCUAUCGACGAGUAGGCUUACGACCUCGAUGUUGGAUCAGGGUAACCUAAUGG